UACGAAGGGGGCUAGCGUUGCUCGGAAUCACUGGGCGUAAAGCGCACGUAGGCGGCUUGUUAAGUCAGGGGUGAAAUCCUGGAGCUCAACUCCAGAACUGCCUUUGAUACUGGCGAUCUUGAGUCCGGGAGAGGUGAGUGGAACUGCGAGUGUAGAGGUGAAAAUUCGUAGAUAUUCGCAAGAACACCAGUGGCGAAGGCGGCUCACUGGCCCGGUACUGACGCUGAGGUGCGAAAGCGUGGGGAGCAAACAGG
rnacentral:rRNA from 1 species